GUGGGGAAUAUUGGACAAUGGGGGGAACCCUGAUCCAGCCAUGCCGCGUGUGUGAAGAAGGCCUUUUGGUUGUAAAGCACUUUAAGCGAGGAGGAGGCUACCGAGAUUAAUACUCUUGGAUAGUGGACGUUACUCGCAGAAUAAGCACCGGCUAACUCUGUGCCAGCAGCCGCGGUAAUACAGAGGGUGCAAGCGUUAAUCGGAUUUACUGGGCGUAAAGCGCGCGUAGGUGGCCAAUUAAGUCAAAUGUGAAAUCCCCGAGCUUAACUUGGGAAUUGCAUUCGAUACUGGUUGACUAGGGUAUGGGAGAGGAUGGUAGAAUUCCAGGUGUAGCGGUGAAAUGCGUAGAGAUCUGGAGGAAUACCGAUGGCGAAGGCAGCCAUCUGGCCUAAUACUGACACUGAGGUGCGAAAGCAUGGGGAGCAAACAGGAUUAGAUACCCGUGUAGUCC
rnacentral:rRNA from 1 species